AGUAAGGUGUGAAGGUGAGUGAUGAGCGCGAUGGAGAAGCAGGGCACGUGCACUACUAACUCAGACACGCGCGCGUGCACCAUUUUUCAUUGAACGCAAUACACUUUUACAACGUGAAAGAGUUAGUUCUUCACGUGCCCAUCUUCACCAUCAUGAGCCACUCCAUCUUUUCUGAAUAUCACUGCAAGAUAAAGCUUCAAUUUCAAGAUGGCUUAUGUAGCCCUUAAGAAAAUACUACGGCCUAUCCAGCUCAAACAUAUGUAAUUCCCAAGUGAUCACUCCAUAAAAAGUUUCGUAACACAAUCAAUGGCUCAUCAUGCAAAUACAAACUUGUAUUACCUGACGACCAACUUGUCAAAUAAUCCGCAACUGAAUUUGCUUCACGAUAAACGUGCUUCAUUACCACAGGCCAACUUCUGUCACACAUACCCCGAAUAUUCGAACAAGACUGAAGCAAGUCUAUUUGAGUUGACUGAUAAGGUAAAAAGAGGUGCAAAUCACUUUGCAUAAUGUACAACAUCUCAGCUACUAAACCGACACACGAAUCAUUAUGAAGUAUUCACAUAAUAUAUAUUCAAAAGUUAAGAGGCAUAUGCAUAUUCCAAAUUACACCAA